UACGGGGGGGGUAAGCGUUGUUCGGAAUUACUGGGCGUAAAGGGCUCGUAGGCGGCCAACUAAGUCAGACGUGAAAUCCCUCAGCUUAACUGGAGAACUGCGUCUGAUACUGGAUGGCUUGGAUUCGGGAGAGGAAUGCGGAAUUCCAGGUGUAGCGGUGAAAUGCGUAGAUAUCUGGAGGAACACCGGUGGCGAAGGCGGCAUUCUGGACCGACAUUGACGCUGAGGAGCGAAAGCCAGGGGAGCAAACGGG
rnacentral:rRNA from 1 species